UUAGAAUACGUUGUUUACAUAGAAUACGUUGAGGAUUUUGAGAGACGAAGGGAAUAAUCAGUAUGAAAAAUAAAUGCUUAAGAAGAUGUUUAACAACGACAAUGAACUUCAAACAUUUUUUUAAAUGUUAUUGUUAAUUGCAGUUAAUUUAUAUUAACAUAUUAUUUAUGUAACAGUGUGUAAGAUAUAUAUGAAAUUGUGUAUUUAAUUUUAAACAUUUUU